UGUAAACAAUAAUAUUUCAUAUUUAUUAAGCACUGGCUAUUAUUUGUCAAGUACUUUAUAAGCAUUUUCUCAUGUAAUUAAUCCAUACCAGCUUUAUGUGGUAUAUUUUCCACAUUUUAUAGAUGAGGAAACUAAGACUCAAAUUGUUGUGUAACUUGUCAAGCUCACAGAGCUGAUAACGACAGCCGAGACUCCAGCCAAAGAAGCUGUACUGCAAUGUUCAUUCCUAUGCCUACUCCUGUAUAUCUUUCUCUUUUGUCCUUAAAAAUAAUGAAUGAAAUAUUAACACCAGUGAUGAUGUAGACAGUUUGCCUGAAAUUCACUUUCUUCAUUGUGAAAAAAAUUUAAAUACCAGAAAUCUCUAUCUUUAGUAAAAGCACAUUGAAAUACAUUGCCUGUAAUGUGGGGACACUAGGUUGCCGAGUAAAUGAUGAGGAUCAGGUUAGGUUCCAUCACAGGGGUUAGCAUUCCUUUGGGGACACCAGAUUCUAUCCCUGUUCUGGCUCUUGCUCAUGCCAAGUGGUAACAAAUGGGUAAGGCUUUGGAGUCUGUUGGCUGCUUGUACAUUUACACAGUGGCAAUGGCUCCACAAUCUCUCAGUUAGUUGGCUCCCUUUCCUGGUGCUCUCCAGCAAGAUUGGCCACCAGAACACGGGUGACAGUGGAGCCAACUCCUGCUUCUCUCUUUUCUCAGAGUUGCCCAGUGAUCUCAUCUUCUUUGCCUUACCCUUUCCUUUCUAUCACCACCUAUUUCUCCUGCUGACCUAUUUCUACCACAAUCAUCUCAUAUGUAGCAGAAAAUAAAAACUAGAGCCUGUUCCCAUUUGAGGGAGAGGAGAGAAACCAAUAGACAAUCCUACUCUACUCAACCUUGCUUUAGGGGUUGAGGGUAUUAGUUUUUCUCUUCCUAAAAAUUAAGAAAUAAACACAUGUAGAUUCUUUUAAUAAAAAUAUUUCAUUUGAAAUAAUCAUUAUAUUAAUGAAUAGAUUUCCCCUUAUAGUCUUAAUAUAUUCAAAAAUGUUGACACUCUUAAUUUAUGACCAUUACACAUUAUUAAUGGAUGCACUCAAUUUGGGAAAGGAGCUUUCAGUCUUAGAGAUUUUCUUUUUCCAUUUCUGCACAACACACAUUUGACUUUUAAAAUAUUAAUUACAUUUGCAAUGAGGCAAAUAGAAAUUAUUAGAAGGACAAUCAAAUCUCAUGUAUUAGGGAUAAGCUGGUGGCCUUGGAGAAUGCACAAUUAUGCUAUAUAUUGCAUAUGAUUUUUUAUUAAUGUUUCAAGCAGCUCUAACUGCAGAGUACUGAUUUGACCUUCUUUAAUCUUUGCCUCUUUCUGCUCCUCCAAUUGACCCUGUGUCUCUCAGAUCAUAAAGUAUUUCACUGCCUAUUAUUGUGAAAGUAUUCUAAUUGGCAAUUACAAUGAGUUCAAUUUCAGUGCUUCUCAGCUGUACCUUUUAAAACUUUUAAUUGCUGGGUGCCAUAUAUUUGUCCAUAGCUAAUGAAAUAAUAGAAUUCUAAGUAGUCCUCCAACAACUUGUUCCAGAUACGUAACUGUGUAUUCCCAAACAAAUCCAUCCAAUUUAAUGUGAAGUGUUGACACAGAGUGAUAUAAAGGUAGUUGAAGUCUUUGUGAAAACGUGCAAAUACAUAUAUGAUUUUAAGUAACUUUGACAAUUUUCCCAGCAAAACACUGCCAAUUUGCUAAUCUAAAAAAUAAUUAGUAUAUACUUAGAAUUUAAUGUUAGAUGUUGAACUGUCACAUACAUGUUUCCUGAAAUGGUAUUUAUAACUAUAUGAUCAUGGUGUUGUUUUUAGAACUUUGUUUCUUACUGCUUUUUGCCACUAGAUGGAAGAAGAAGGUUAACAAAAUGAUAUUUUUGGUGCUUCAUUCAACUCUACCCAGAAACAAUCAUAAAAGUCUUUUAAAAUAAGGACACUCUCAGCAAUCUUUUACUUAUAAUUUUUAUUGCAUUAUUUUUUCAUAUUCAUACUGGAUCUAAGAAUGGUAUUUUUAUAGAAAUUAAUUUUCUUUUUAUAAUUUUGAAGGAUUGCAAAUUUCAAAAGCAAGCAAGAAAGAAAAUAAUUGUCAGCUGGUACAUGAAAGGUAAAAGUAUCUCAGAGAUAACGGAGCAGAAGAACAAUCAUACAAUGAAUACAUGGAGUUUUAAACUUUUGUGCAUGUAAAUUUCUUUUGCUUUUUAUGAUAAGAUAAUUUUCUAAAUGGUUGUUUAAACCUAUAGCACUCACUGCUUACAGUAAUUUAUUCUUGGCUCUAUAUUUGGUUUUUUUCUCCUUCAGUCAGAAUCAUUUUGCUUAAUUUUCUUUACAUAAUGAGAAAAGAAUAAUUGAGAAGGCAUGAGUGUAUCUAACACUGGGAGGUUCAAGAAGUAUUAUGUUACAGAGACAGAAUAAAGAAUUUCAUUGAAUUGACAUCAAUUUUAUUCUUUCACACCCUUUUCUCUAACAGGCACUGCAUAAGAACCAUUUGAAAUAAAGACCAUAACUUUGAAAAUAAAAGCUUACCAAUGUAGUUAGGAGACAUUAGGGUAGACAAAUAGGUUUUAAAACAACACUUCCAAUUUCUUAGAGUAUUUUUGUUCUUUUAUUCGUACUUCAGAGUAAUUUUUCUAAAACAUGAACCACACCAGUAAAUUCCCUACUUAAAACCCUUGUGUUCUACUUGGCUUGAGCAUAAACUCUAUUGUUGGCUCCAUGAUUGGUACCCUUCUUUAAUAUCACUUCUCAGAGCCUAUCCCCACGCACCUUCUGUAUCCUCUCCCUUCACUUCUCACACCACUCUUGGCUUUUGCUCAUGCUCUUUCCUCCCAUUGUGAUAUACUGUUUUCCUAUACUUUUUUCCUUUCCUGUUGUGUUCUUAUACAUCUUUUGAGGUCUUUGCUGAGUUUGCUGCUAUUAGAAC
rnacentral:lncRNA from 1 species